CCAGAAAAAAGCUUGUGUGAAACAUCCUAUGACAGAGCCCAAGUGACAUUGUUUAAAGUGGCAAGUCGGGGAUCCCUGGGUGGCGCAGCGGUUUAGCGCCUGCCUUUGGCCCAGGGCACGAUCCUGGAGACCCGGGAUCGAAUCCCACGUCAGGCUCCCGGUGCAUGGAGCCUGCUUCUCCCUCUGCCUAUGUCUCUGCCUCUCUCUCUCUCUCUCUGUGUGACUAUCAUAAAUAAAUAAAUAAAUAAUUAAAAAAAAAAGUGGCAAGUCGAAGGACGGCCAAGGUCAGGGUUCUCCUGGAAGUUCAAGGUGUGGGAAUGUGAUGAAGCCAGACAGAAAAAGACCUUGCUUCUCAGAGGACUUCAAGACUGAGAGAAGAUGCAGAACUGGAGGUAAGAAGAGGAAAAGAACAAGGGACAAGGAGCAGUGCUAAGAGGAAGACCUUCAAACAAGUGCUCCCCAAACAUUCCUGCUAAGUAAGUGCCACGGGGCAUAGAUUAUGUGGCUGUUGAUUGAUAUUCAGUAAAAUGUCUGGCACAUAGUAAGUACUCAAUACACAUAUGUUGAUAAAAGCACAAGAGUGCUCCAAGAAAAUGCAUCAUAUAAUAGGUGUCAUUGCCAAGUGUAUUUGGGGCAAGCUCCAAUAAUGCUUUUCUCUUUAGGAAAUGUCCAAAUUGCAUUAGCAAGUUUAAAACUCUGGGAAAUCCUGAUGGAAAGAAACUUGUCUAACUUUCCUUAACCCAAUGUUUGCCAUACUUAUUUGGCCAGCACUUUCCUCCACCCCAGUUGUCCUGAUACCUGAUAACACUUGGAGGAGCACAAGUUCCUUGGGAGAUGCAAAGAGAGAACCAGGAAGGAGAUGAAAUCUGUGCCAAGACAAGGAGAGACCUGAGACUGUGGGUUCUUGGAGAAUGAGGCGGGUGUGCAGGGCAUGGCAGGCUCUUUAUGGGGUUGACUCCAUCCAGCCUCUAAUCUUGGCCUUGAAAUGUGACAAGAAGUUUAGUAAUGUGGAACACAGGAGACCUGACUUAGCUAAGUCUGAUUUUGACAAGAUCAAGAAUGCUUUUAAAAAGAAGUGGAAAUUUGAAUGGUGGUGGUUUGUCACCUUGAAGAAAGUAGCAGUUUUAAAUUGA
rnacentral:lncRNA from 12 species